rnacentral:lncRNA from 13 species
CUAAAUCAUACCUUGUCUAAAUGAGAAAUUUAAUUUUAGUAUCUGCAUUUCUAAAGAAUUAUUAGCAAAAGACAUUGAUAAAUUAAAAAGUUUAUGAGGUUGGUCUGACUCACCCAUGCAGGCCUUUUUUCCCUCUGGAUUCUUUGUGCUGUAAUUUUGGAUACUAGGUUGAAGCUAUAAAUAGUCUAUAGUUGUGAAUCUACAUUGGUCAGCAGACCCUUUGUAUACAGCAUUUUUGAAUUACUGUCUUUAUAAAUAACAUUCUCUGUGAUAAUCCUCUUCAGCAUGGUAAAAAUCACCCAGCUGGGGCUUGAUUCCUGCGUGGGCUGAGUGUGUAACUCAAGGCAACCACAAAUGGCCCGAUGCUUCUGAAGACCUCCCAGGCAUGAGAGAGCCCCUCAGGACUCUCAGAAAAGCUGACCAGUCCAGUCUUGCCUGGUCUUCAUUGCCUCACAGCAGAGCUGAGGAAAUGGGAUGAUGGCCAGAAUGCUGCUGUAUUCACAUCAGUUACUUACCACAUCAUAAAACUGAAUAAAAUAGGCUCAAAAGAUUCAGAGGACUGUAUGAGGGUAAGAUGAUCUCAAAGCUCAGUGACAGAAGUGUUUAAGUGUCCGUACAUUGCCAGACAUCCUCAGAUUUUAUAAAACAAAGUGAUGAGGGAAGCUCUCCCACCAAAGCCUUAAUGCAAACAGACCCAGCUUUAAAAGGUCUCUGAACACUGGAAAAAAAGAAGCUUUUUUCUACUGCAGCCUAAAUGAAAUUGGACUCCAUUCUGGUGACUCCUGUGGGCAGGAAGAUGCUUGUUCUGUGGUCUGAGUGUGGAUGCCUGGGUUUGCCUGACAAGAGGGAUUUUCAUCUCCAUGGAAUAGCUGUUCCACUUGAGGUGAGAAGAAAAGUGAAGGAAUUGCAGUUCUGUUAAAGACAGCUGAGAGGGAAGAGUGUGUGUUGGAAAAGCCAAGUGCAAACAGGGCUGGGGGGGGCCUGAAGAAAACAGGGUCAAAAGAUGGAAAGAAGUGUCUUCUUUCCUGCUCCCUGUGUAAAUGUGCCCAAGCUGGUGAGCAAAUGGGCUGCUGAUAAAUUCAUUUGAAUUGCUAAAAGCUUUUGGGAGUUCAGUUCCUGAAGUUCACAGUUCAAGCUUUUCCGUGCACCACAAUACAAAUGUUCAAAUUAAAUUCCAACUUUCUUACCCUUAUUUCAUGAACUCAGUAUUUCCUAGGACAAU